CCAGUCCUACCUACCCUGCCGUGCUCACCAGGCUCACCUGGAUCACCUGGUGACCCAUCCCGACCAUCUUUAACAAUUCCUGGGACACCUGGAAGACCUGUGGGCAGCACAUAGCCAUUCAUACAAGUGUUUGUCAUCCAAUAUGAGAUAAUAUUGAUCAGAAGUGUCAUACCUCUGGGACCGGGAUCUCCAAGUUCUCCUGGCAGGCCUCUGUAUCCUGGAGGUCCACGAGAACCUGGAUGACCAAUGGAGCCAAUUACUCCCGGCUGACCUGGAGAUCCAGCAGGUCCAGGUCUGCCCACCAUUCCUGGGGCCAGAGGUCUGCGAAGAUUAGCGGCCAGCUGCGCAAUCUGAUCUGGGAUGAGUGGAGGACGACAGAAGAAAUGCCAGGAAGACCUUGCUCUCCUUGGAAGCCCAUUAAUCCUGGUUUUCCCGGGGGCCCCCUUGCCCCAAGCUCUCCUUGUGGCCCAGAGACACCUUUAGGUCCCAGUUCUCCUCGUUUCCCUGACUGUUUCCAAUUUGAAAAAUGGACAUAUUAUAUUUUUGCCAAGACCACACUGCAAAUUCACUUUAACCUUUUAUCCUCAAAAUAAGAACCCUGGAGAAAACUGUCAAGCGUUUUACAGAAUGGAGCUUCUAAUUCCACAAAUUGUGUUGCACCUUCA